rnacentral:rRNA from 1 species
UGGCUCAGGACGAACGCUGGCGGCGUGCCUAAUACAUGCAAGUCGAACGCUUCUUUCCUCCCGAGGGCUUGCACUCAAUUGGAAAGAGGAGUGGCGGACGGGUGAGUAACACGGGGGUGACCUACCCAUCAGAGGGGGAUAACACUUGGAAACAGGUGCUAAUACCGCAUAACAGUUUAUGCCGCAUGGCAUAAGAGUGAAAGGCGCUUUCGAGUGUCGGUGAUGGAUGGACCCGCGGUGCAUUAGCUAGUUGGUGAGGUAACGGCUCACCAAGGCCACCAAGCAUAGCCGACCUGAGAGGGUGAUCGGCCACACUGGGACUGAAACACGGCCCAGACUCCUACGGGAGGCAGCAGUACGGAAUCUUCGACAAUGGACGAAAGUCUGACCGAGCAACGCCGCGUGAGUGAAGAAGGUUUUCGGAUCGUAAAACUCUGUUGUUAGAGAACAACAAGGACGUUAGUAACUGAACGUCCCCUGACGGUAUCUAACCAGAAAGCCACGGCUAACUACGUGCCAGCAGCCGCGGUAAUACGUAGGUGGCAAGCGUUGUCCGGAUUUAUUGGGCGUAAAGCGAGCGCAUGCGGUUUCUUAAAUCUGAUGUGAAAGCCCCCGGCUCAGCCGGUGAGGGUCAUUGGACACUGGUACACUUGAGUGCAGAAGAGGACAGUGUAAUUCCAUGUGUAGCGGUGAAAUGCGUAGAUAUAUGGAGGAACACCAGUGGUCAAUGCGGUUCUCUGGUCUGUAACUGACGCUGAGGCUCGAAAGCGUGGGGAGCAAUCAGGAUUAGAUACAGUGGUAGUCCACCGCCGUAAACGAUGAGUGGUAAGUGUUGGAGGGUUUCCGCCCUUCAGUGCUGCAGCAAACGCAUUAAGCACUCCGCAUGGGGAGUACGAGAGCAAGAUUGAAACUCAAAGGAAUUGACGGGGGCCCGCACAAGCGGUGGAGCAUGUGGUUUAAUUAGAAGCAACGCGAAGAACCUUUCCAGGUCUUGACAUCCUUUGACCACUAUAGAGAUAGAGCUUUUCCUUCGGGGACAAAGUGACAGGUGGUGCAUGGUUGUUGUCAGCUCGUGUCGUGAGAUGUUGGGUUAAGUCCCGCAACGAGCGCAACCCUUAUUGUUAGUUGCCAUCAUUUAGUUGGGCAUCUCUAGCGAGACUGCCGGUGACAAUCCGGAGGAAGGUGGGGAUGACGUCAAAUCAUCAUGCCCCUUAUGACUUGGGUUACACACGUGUUACAAUGGGAAGUACAACGAGUCGAUAGACCGCGAGGUCAUGCAAACCUCUUAAAGCUUUUUUCAGUUCGGAUUGCAGGCUGCAAUUCGCCUGCAUGAAGCCGGAAUCGUUAGUAACCGCGGAUCACCACGCCGCGGUGAAUACGUUCCCGGCCUUUGUACACACCGCCCGUCACACCACGAGAGUUUGUAACACCCGAAGUCGGUGAGGUAACCUUUUUGGAGCCAGCCGCCUAAGGUGGGAUAGAUGAU